rnacentral:rRNA from 1 species
GACGUAGGAUGCAAGCGUUGUCCGGAUUUAUUGGGCGUAAAGAGUUCGUAGGCGGCAUUCCAUGUCUAAUGUUAAAUCAUAGAGCUCAACUCUAUACCUGCAUUGGAAACUGGUUUGCUAGAGCAAGGUAGGGGUCAGAAGAAUUCCUGGUGUAGCGGUGAAAUGCGUAGAUAUCAGGAGGAACACCUGUGGCGAAAGCGUCUGACUGGGCCUUUGCUGACGCUGAGGAACGAAAGCUAGGGGAGCAAAAGGG